ACGGGAUAACGGGGAACACGGGAUAUCGAGGGUCCGGGACCGCGGAGGGGCAGCUGAGGGCUCGGAGCGUGCGGGGAUGGGGACAGGGAGGGUGAGGGGACGCGGAAGCGGCUCUGGGGGCUGGUUGAGGAGUGUGAAAACAGCCCAAGUUUAGGGUUUCCUGAGGCGCGGGGAGGAUUUCUGGGAGCUCUGGGGAUGUUGGAUGGGGCACGGCAGAGGAACUGGGGCUGAAGAGCUGCAGGGACCUGGUGGGGAGGAUACAGGGAAGGAGAUGGGAAGAGUGUAAGCGUGUGUGGCAUGAGGGAAGGGAGGGAUGCAAACAGACCUCCGGAGCCUCGGAGAGGCGCUGACUGCAGCAGCGUUUGUAGAUCCUGAUGACAUCUUUGUAUUGAUUUCUCUGUCCCUGUGGAGAAGGAAGCAUCAAUGAGGAAUAUACCUAGGAGAAUGUUUCAUUGGUUUUCCCUUAACAGGAAAAGCCACUUUGUUUCUGUGGAGGAAAUAACAAAAACUCAGUUGCUUCAUGCUCUGAUUUUUGAACACUGCCUAGAUGAGCUGUGAAUGUGCCUUAGAUUCACCAAAGAAUUUUUAAAAGACUUGCAAGUCAAGUCCUGGCAGUGGAUACUGAACAACUCCAGUGCUGCUGUUCAUGUUGGUGAAAUUGUAUUGAGCAACACCAAAGCACCCUGAGGGUGUAUGUGGUACAUGAUUCUGUAGAAAUCACAAAUUGGUGAAGGAGGAUAUUGGAGGUUUUUAUCUUCUGAAGCAGAGCUAAAGUGGAGGGAAAAUGAGAUGCCUGGUUCAGUGGAUUAAAUGUUAGAAGAAUCUGGAAAGACCAGAGUGGGGUCU